rnacentral:misc_RNA from 1 species
AAAAUUACAUUGUAAGAUUAUAGAGAGGAUAUACACAUACCAUGGAGAAGCUUGAAGAGACUGCCAUUCGGCUGAUAUUCAUACACCAAAAGUUUCUCUUGCUUCGGGCAGUAAAAUGCAACUGGUGGCAACACUUUUGGAUGCUUCACUCGGUCUAUCCUCUCCAUUCUCUUCUUGAAGUCUUCAUUGGAAAUGCCCCAGUGUUUG